rnacentral:lncRNA from 1 species
CGGGGGUGAUCGACGAGGCGGGCGAGCGGGUGGUCUCGGCGCUGGGCGGGGCGCUGGCCCGGUCGGUCUUCGACUGCACCCACCUGGUGACGGACCGGGUGCGCCGCACGGUGAAGUUCCUGUGCGCCCUGGCCCGCGGGGUGCCCAUCGUCACGCUGGACUGGCUGGACAAGAGCGGGCGCAGCGCCUGCUUCCUGUCACCCAGCAGCUUCCUGGUGCGGGACGCGGAGCAGGAGCGAAACUUUCACUUCAGCCUGGCCCAGUCGCUGCAGCGAGCACGCAGGGGACCCCUGCUGCAGGGCUACGAGAUCCACGUCACCCCCAACGUCAAGCCGGAGCCCGAGCACAUGAAGGACAUUAUCCAGUGCAGCGGGGGGGUCUUCCUGCCCCACAUGCCUCGGACGUACAAGGUAUGGGGGGAGUGAGGGGCGCCGGCAGAGCUGGGAGCGGGGCUGCAGGGUGGGAGUGAGGGAUCUCUGGGGCAGGAGUGAUG